UACGGAGGGUGCAAGCGUUGCUCGGAAUUAUUGGGCGUAAAGGGCAGGUAGGUGGUCUUAUUUGUCUGGGGUGAAAGCCUUGAGCUUAACUCAAGAAGUGCCUCAGAAACGGUGAGACUGGAGUCCUGGAGAGGGUCGUGGAAUUCCCGGUGUAGCGGUGAAAUGCGUAGAGAUCCGGAAGAACACCGGUGGCGAAGGUGGUGAGCUGGGCAGUUGCUGACACUGAGGCGCGACAGCGUGGGGAGCAAACAGG
rnacentral:rRNA from 1 species